CUGCAGCCAAGUAAGCUGCCCUGGGAGGUCCCUUUUCUUACUGGGGCCUGGUGUGCAACGGUUGCCAACAGCACACUCAUUUGGAGUGACCUCACCCUGUUGCCUAUAUUGGCUACCCAAAGGGUCCUUGGAGACAACA
ensembl:snoRNA SNORA70 Small nucleolar RNA SNORA70